rnacentral:misc_RNA from 1 species
CAGAUGGGCUUGAGCCUCAUGUUGCUACACUCUUUACCGCAUUUUUAUGUAUUGGGUGUGUCAUCAUUGGGAAUCUGGAUCUUAUCACACCAACUGUAACUAUGUUUUACCUUCUGUGUUAUGCUGGUGUGAAUUUGUCUUGCUUCCUUCUGGAUCUUCUAGAUGCUCCCAGUUGGCGUCCACGAUGGAAGUUUCACCAUUGGAGCCUCUCUCUUCUUGGGGCAUCACUUUGUAUUGUCAUUAUGUUCUUGAUUUCUUGGUCAUUCACGGUUGUGUCUCUAGCCCUUGCCAGCCUUAUAUAUUAUUAUGUGAGCAUUAAAGGAAAGGCUGGGGACUGGGGUGAUGGCUUCAAGAGUGCAUAUUUUCAGUUGGCUCUUCGUAGUCUUCGAUCACUAGGAGCCAACCAAGUCCACCCUAAGAAUUGGUAUCCCAUCCCUCUCAUAUUCUGCCGGCCAUGGGGAAAGCUGCCAGAAAAUGUACCUUGCCAUCCCAAACUUGCUGACUUUGCAAAUUGCAUGAAAAAAAAGGGUCGUGGGAUGUCUAUCUUUGUAUCUAUAUUAGAUGGAGAUUACCAUGAACAUGCUGAAGAUGCCAAGGCAGCCUGCAAGCAACUUGGCACCUACAUUGAUUACAAAAAUUGCGAAGGUGUAGCAGAGAUAGUUGUAGCACCGAAUAUGUCUGAAGGCUUUCGUGGAAUAGUCCAGACUAUGGGUCUUGGCAACCUCAAGCCCAAUAUUGUGGUUAUGAGAUAUCCAGAAAUAUGGCGUCGUGAAAACCUAACUGAAAUCCCAGCCACCUUUGUUGGGAUAAUUAAUGACUGCAUUGUUGCAAACAAAGCAGUUGUUAUUGUCAAGGGUCUUGAUGAGUGGCCCAACGUGUAUCAGAGGCAAUAUGGUACCAUUGAUCUGUAUUGGAUUGUAAGAGAUGGUGGUCUAAUGCUUCUCCUUUCCCAGCUUCUUCUUACAAAGGAGAGUUUUGAGAGUUGUAAAAUUCAGGUCUUCUGCAUUGCAGAGGAGGAUUCAGAUGCAGAGGAACUUAAAGCUGAUGUGAAGAAAUUUCUGUAUGAUCUUCGGAUGCAGGCUGAAGUGAUUGUUAUAUCAAUGAAAUCAUGGGAUGCACAAGCGGAGGGUGGAUCUCAACAAGAUGAAUCACUAGAAGCAUUCACUGCUGCACAACGGCGAAUUGCUAGAUACUUAACUGAGAUGAAGUCGAGAGCUGAAGGGGAAGGGAAUGUGCUGAUGGCCGAUGGGAAACCUGUGAUUGUGAAUGAGCAACAGGUUGAGAAGUUCCUGUACACGACCCUGAAACUGAAUUCAACGAUAUUGAGAUACUCUAGAAUGUCUGCAGUUGUACUUGUGAGUCUACCACCACCUCCAGUCAACCACCCAGCCUACUUUUACAUGGAAUACAUGGAUCUAUUGGUAGAAAAUGUGCCAAGGCUC